CAUAUUUGUGUAUCUGGACCCUGAAUCCAUAAAUAAAAGAUGUGUUUGAUGGCCUUCUUCAAAACAGAAAAUUACACAAAAUAGAGGGCAAACCAACGUCAUUAAAACACAAAAAGGCACAAUAUAAGAAAGGGCCAAAGUGGCAUGCUUGAAAAUUCUCUAUCUAGAAAGGUGCGUAUAGGUUUCUGAAAUGUUAGUAGUAGAAUCAUUAUUAUCAUUAUUAUUUUUGUUGCUGUACAGCUUAAUUCUUAUGAAUAUGUUUGUAAAUAGCUUCAUGGUGACUGGUGCUUUCUUAGGUAACCAUUUGUUAUCUUGAUCAAAGAGUUGCCACAUUCAUGGCAUUGACUCAUUGACAUGGCUAUCAGUCAAUCAGGAAAUAACGUUUUCCAAUUGUGUUUUUCAAAAUGUUGUCUAGUGAGUUUUCGUUCAGGGUUGGGCAUAAUAAAAUGUUUCCUUUUCAUAAAUGCCCUUAAAUGAUUGUUGCCACUGCAGUUCUCUUCUCUAGAACAAUUCUGUAUGUUGCUGUCUAUAGGUACAGGUCUGUGCAAGUAGAAUAAGCUACACUGUGAACCUAUUACACUUUGAAGCUUGAUUAAGAGAAUAAAAACCUUCAGGGGUGUCCAUAAACAGGACCAUGCAUUUGAAGAUUUUGAUGGUGGUCUUGUGCUUUUUUGCUGUGAUAACAACAUCGAUAACUGAGGCAACAAUAACCACAGAUGCACUUACAACAACAGCUGCUCCCACUACAACCACAACUGAACCUACAACUACCACGGAGGCUCCAACAACCACCACAGUUGCCCCUAUAACUACCACGGAGGCUCCAACAACAACAACAGCUGCACCUACAACUACAACAGUUGCUCCCACUACAACCACAGCUGAACCUACAACUACCACAGAGGCUCCAACAACAACCACAGCUUCUCCCACUACAACCACAGCUGCUCCCAUUACAACCACAGCUCCCCCAAAAACUCCCACAGAGGCUCCAACAACAACCACAGCUGAACCUACAACUACAACAGCUUCUCCAUUAACAACCACAGCUGCUC